rnacentral:rRNA from 1 species
AUUGAACGCUGGCGGCAUGCCUUACACAUGCAAGUCGAACGGCAGCGGGGGAGAAGCUUGCUUUUCCUGCCGGCGAGUGGCGAACGGGUGAGUAAUACAUCGGAACGUGCCCUGUAGUGGGGGAUAACUAGUCGAAAGAUUAGCUAAUACCGCAUACGACCUGAGGGUGAAAGCGGGGGACCGCAAGGCCUCAUGCUAUAGGAGCGGCCGAUGUCUGAUUAGCUAGUUGGUGGGGUAAAGGCCUACCAAGGCGACGAUCAGUAGCUGGUCUGAGAUGACGAUCAGCCACACAUGGAAUGAGACACGGUCCAAAAUCCUACGGGAGGCAGCAGUGGGGAAUUUUUGACAAUGGGCGAAAGCCUGAUCCAGCAAUGCCGCGUGUGUGAAGAAGGCCUUCGGGUUGUAAAGCACUUUUGUCCGGAAAGAAAUGGCUCUGGUUAAUACCUGGGGUCGAUGACGGUACCGGAAGAAUAAGGACCGGCUAACUACGUGCCAGCCGCCGCAGUAA